AGGGUCACCUGUGUUCACCUGUGUGUUCAUAAGGGCAGGUGUAAGGAGGUGUGGAGGUCACGUCUGGUCUUCCUUAAUUAUUUCUUUAUUUCCUCUAACCUUUGUUUCUUCUUAGUUCUUGUUAGUUCUUCCUUUCCCUCUUCUUUCUUCCAAUUUUGAUUCGUAUGUCUUUUUUUUUUAUUUCUCAGGUCAUAUUCGUUGAUUUGUUGAUUGUUUCCUUUAUCAAUUUCUCUCGUUUUCCUUUUCUUUCAAUAAUGAUUCGUAAGUCUUUUUUUUAUUUCUCAGGUUAUAUUUGUUGAUUUGUUGAUUGUUUCGUUUAUCAAUUUCUCUCGUUUUCCUUUUCUUUCUCUCAAUAAUGAUUCGUAAGUCUUUUUUUAUUUCUCAGGUUAUAUUUGUUGAUUUGUUGAUUGUUUCGUUUAUCAAUUUCUCUCGUUUUCCUUUUCUUUCUCUCAAUAAUGAUUCGUAAGUCCUUUUUUUAUUCUUCGGGUCACAUUUGUUGAUUUUGUUGAUUGUUUCCUUUAUCAAUUUCUCUCCUUUUCCUUUUCUUUCAAUAAUGAUUCGUCAGUCUUUUUUUAUUUCUCAGGUUAUAUUCGUUGAUUUUGUUGAUUCUUUCCUUUAUCAAUUUCUCUCCUCUGACCUUCAUUUCUUUCCUUUUUGUCUAUUAGUUAUUCCUGUCUUUUUCUUUUUUUCAAUAAGGAUGCAUGGUCCUUAGUCUUAAAUUUCAUGAUUCUGCAUUUUUUUCUGUUUUUUGCUUCUUUCCUUAACUAUUCCUAAUUCUGCUUUAUUUUUCAAGUACUAGCCUUCCCUUUUUUCUGGCUAUUCAAAGAGAUUUUCUUGUUAUUUUCUACGGUUUCCAAAUACCUGAAACUUUCCUUAAUUGGCAGGUAUAUGGUUGUUAUCUGCUUGUCAUCGCCUCUAGUGCUUGUUCCAUAUUGUUUGAAUCUUUAUGACUCUCUUCAACGUUGUUUUUGAGGUCGAAUUUGUUGAUUUUCUGCUGUUAUUUUUUUUCUUCUGUAUUAUAUCUCUGCACUGAUGUGCGAUGAUCUAACUGUAUAUCUAUUACCACCACUACUACUACUACUACUACUACUACUACUACUACUACUACUACUAGCCUAACCAUAUCAAUAGUUUCAUCUUCUGCCUCUUUCGUGUGUGUGUGUGUGUGUGUGUGUGUGUGUGUGUGUGUGUGUCGCCUACUCGAAUCUCGCCUCCACAUUGUUACCUGUUAAUGAUUUCUUACCUCCACUCUCCUCCACCUGGGCUAUUUAAUAUGUGCUGGAGUCAGGUAUAAAUAGCCUACUAGUACUAAUUUACCAUAUGUGUCUGUUUGUACUUACUCUAUAUGUGUGUGAAGACUAUUUUGGAUACGACCAUUCAUACUACUAUUAUUACUACUACCAUUACUAUUGCCAUUACUAUUAAAAAGACUCUACAGGUACCAUA